AAACUAUAAUCUCUUCCUUCACCUUAUCGGUCUCUUCUUUAUAGUAAUUCAGUCAUACCAAUAACUGCUAUUUCCACCAAUAUAUUCACCUUCAUAAUCUCCAACUGUAAUACUACGCCUUCACAGCUUUCAGCAUACAAUUACCCUCGUUCCAAUCACUAGAAUUCCUCACACAGAAUUUCCAUUCACAUUACAGUGUUUCAUACAAACACAGACUCAUUCUCUCUGCUGAACUACAAUCAGAUUUCAGAAUUCAAUCUUUCUUCUUCUCAAAUAAUACCAAUCACAUUUCCAUUCCAUAAUUCACUUUACAAUAUUCAGAAACUUUCAAUCCUCUUAUUCAAAGAAAAUAACAAACAAAAGAAAAGAGGUAGCACCAAGCUUACCCCGACUCACACUAUCACAGCUAUGGCCCUCAGCUCACAACUCUCACUGUCUGGCCCCCUAAUUAACUUCUACAACUUCUAUAUACUUUCCCCUGAUUCUCCAGAUUCUAACCGUAAUUCUGUAAUUAAUCACUUUUAAUAACUAAAUCACUCAUCCAUCCUCCUGAAUUUCCUAUUAUAUGGACUAUUAAUAUAUUUUACCAAUAUCUUUCAAAAACGAAUUAAUAUCUAAUCUACAUAGCUCCACUCCUAUCUGUGCAGCAUCCUCGCAAACACUCAAUUAAUACCUAUCUAAAAAUUAUCUAACAAAACUCUAUAAAAAUUGCGAUCCUUCUAACCUAUCUAAUUAAUCAAUUGUCACAGUAUCUGUUAUUGGUUCCACUGAUUCUGGUUCCAGCUGCAAAUCUUUGUCCUCCUCCAAUCCUUCCAUCGACUCUUGCCUCAACUGAACUCAAAGAUCUUCAUUAUACUCGCCCAGUUCACAGACUUGAGCUUCCAAUUUCAAGAUCUAGGCAUCUCUCAAUUCCAACUGGCAUUGAAAGUGACUCCUCUCUUCUGAAACUUCGGGAACUGGCAACGUCAUUACUUGUGCUUGAUCAAUAUUAACUAAAUCUCCUACCAAUCUUAUCACCUCGACGUUCAAGGCCUCAAUUUUAGCCCUUAACUACCCCGUUUUAGAUCUGUAUUGGUCACUCAAUACCAAUUUUUUUUGCGCCAAUAACUCAACCUUUUUUCGUUCCUUUACCAAUUGAUCCUUUACUUUUUCUAGUUCCAAAAUUGAAUUAUUGCGAGCCCGGAAUAGUUCUUCCCUGUGGGUCUCCACCAUGCGUUCUCUUUCUUUGUCCCAAGCUUCCUAUUGUUCCCCAAUUUUUCGCUCCAAUAGUAGCUUGGAUUUCGUAUUUGCCUGGAUGAUCCGUUCUUACUCUUUAAUUCUUCGGGUCUGCUCCGAUAUCACCUUUUUGCUUGCCUCUAAUUCUUAUUUACCAUUGCCCUCUACAUCCAAUGCUUGUACCAUGCAAUGUAUUUAUAAAAUGUACUUCAAUAGAGCAUUUUUAAGAUGUACGCCUUUCGGUAGUUGGCCCUGUGGAAACGCUAACUGAUUGAUAUCUAACAAUGUCGAGACUUUAUUCUCCUCUUCCACCACCAAACGAAUUGGAUCUGUUUCUAGUGCCACUAAACGACUGGAUUCUCCAAUUUCAUGUAUUACCUCCGUUGUAUUGACAUUCGGUGCCAACAAAUUCCGUUCUCACUGCGGAGGCACUGGCACUGGUUCAGAACUUUUCUCUACUGGCGAUGUUUGCCGCAAUGUGUACGCAAUCGCAGCAUACACAUAAUUGAAACAUAGCAACGCUGUAAACUUUCCUAUUUUGCGCUUGGCUUCCAUUUCUACAUGAAUACAGGUUGCUACAUAAGCUGCCCAAUUGAACACCAUUCCUUCAAACGUCCCUACCGCUGCAAACAUGAACCAUUUUGACAUAUAUGUGUUGUGUCGAUACAACCCUAGAUGCCUCAACACGAAGCGCAACCAUUCCAUGAGCUCAGAUAUAAUUGCCUCAACCGUCUGCCAAUCUUGGUUCUUCUCAAACAAUGACAUGCCAUCUUUGAAAUAACUUCCUAGUCGGAAGUCACUGGACUCCUCAGCAUCCACCGCAAUCUCUCCAACUGGAAAAAACAGUACUUUUUUGAGGAUCUUCUCAUCAAUACUGAUAACGCGCCCUUGUACUAUGCUCGAUCUAUCCUGUGGGUCAUAGUUUGCGAUGUAUUCUUCCACUAAUGCCAUAUUAAUUGAAGGUAAACUAUUUGAUCUUCGCAAAAUUGAAAUAUUUGUACAUUUCAAAAAUCUUGUAUUCUCCUUGGCGUCCAACAAAUCUCCAGCUUCAUAGGCUCUAUAUUGGUAACGAUUAUUACGGAUGGUGGUCCUAAAUUGCAUUUAGCUUUCACAUUUUGGCCACUUUCCUCUCUGUCCAUAGCUCUCUUUGCACUCUCAAUCGCCAUGAUGCACACUCUUUCAAGUUCUUACCGUCAAUACUAUCCUCCAGUACUCCAAAACACCCGAAAUUGUAACACCGAAAAGAAACAAUAACAAAAUGCGACACCUGAGAAUGACCGUAAAUUGGUGCCCCAAUCCUAUUCUUUUACCUAGUGGUGAUAACAACAACAUGUUACCCCUAGUAUCCGUUUCUCACCUCCAUCCCAUCUGAUACAUUAAUAAUUACUAACUAUCCUUUCAGCUGCCUUUAUAUCCUAACGCACUUAAUUAGGUCUAUCUUAAGGACAUUCGAUGUGACCUCCUCAAACCCGUCUCGGGUUUUAUGUAUGAUAUAACCGUAAUUGGUUCUCGUUAAUGUGGGUACUGAAACAAUGACCCAUGAAAUCUUCCAAUUGAACAGAUCCAUUGGAAAAUCCUUCAAUCAUACGAUAUGGUCUAUGCCAGCAAACUUGAAAUUUGCCCGGAAAAUGAUUAAACCUGCUAUUAUACAAUAAUACCAAAUCAUUAGGCAUGAAAUUCUUUAGACGCAGUUUACUAUAAUAGUAACUCUUCCACCAUUUUUGAAUUGCUUCCAUGUUGAAGAGAGCUGUAGCCCAUAUUUCAUCCAAUUUGUCCAACUCUGCCAACCGAUAUUAGAGUGAUUUCUUAUCUCCAAGACGUUCAUCCAAUGCAAUGCAAAAACUGUGAACUUCCAAUUCAAUUGGUAAUAUUGUUUCUUGCCUGUACACCAAUUCGAAUGGUGUGGAAUUGGUAGUCACUUUAUAUAUAGUACGAUAUGCCCACAAUGCCGCAAACAAUUUAGUAUCCCAAUCCGUUCUCGUGCCCAAAAUUGUUUUGGUUAUAAUCUUACAUAGAAUACCAUUGGUCUUUUUCGUCUGUCCAUUGGCUCGAGGAUGAUAUGGUGUUGUUUUCCUGUGCUUGAUUUCGUAUAUGUUCGUCAAGGCUGCUAUGGUAGCAUUUAUGAAAUGGGUGCUGCGAUCGCUAAUCAAUUCCUUCAGACACCCAAAUCGAGUAAUAAUAUUCUCGUAUAAAAAAGUGGCCACUAUACUGGCAUUAUUAUUGUGGGUAGCAAUAGCCACCGCCCAUUUGGUUACAUAGUUCGUCGUGACUAAAAUAUAUCACUUUUGUCGAUGUCGCGAUGCUGGUGCAAUGGAUCCAACAAAAUCAAUUUUCCAUUUCUAAAAUGGUGCCUGUGCCAAGAUUGGUACUAACGGCAUCGCUAAAGUACUCGUGGGUUGACCAAUUCGUUGACAGGGAUCACAACGACAAAUAAAUUGGUGUGCAUCAGAAAACAUUAUGGGCCACCAAUAUCCGGCCAUUAGAGCCUUGCGAGUAGUACUGUCUCCCGCAAAAUAUCCACCACAACUAUUCAAAUGACAUCCCUCUAGUAUCGAUUGUACUUCACUAGGAAAGAUGCAACAACGUAGAAUUCCAUCCCGGCCUUGCUUAUACAAGGCGUCUCCCAUCAUCGUAUACGGUGCACUUUUUAAAAUCAGUCGUUUCUUGAGUUUUUCACUAUAUGUAGGUGGAAAUGUCUGAAAUAUCAGACAUUGAAUCAAUUCACUACAGUCGGUUGUAAUCACUUCGACGGCAAAUAACUGCGCAUUAAGAAGUGCAUCACUAAUACGCUCAUUACUCAAGAUAUUGGACAAUUGGGACAAGUGAUCCGCAUUAGCAUGUUUCUUUCCUGGUCGUAAAUUGAUAGUAAAAUUAAAUUCUUGAAGUAAUAACACCCAUCGAGCAAUGCGUCCACUCAAUUGAGGCUUAUUAAUCAUGUAUUUGAAGGCAUCAUGAUCCACAUAGAAGACAAAGGGAUAUCCAAGCAAAUAGUGUCGAAAUUUCUGAACUGAAUAUAUCAUAUCCAACGCUUCUCGUUCAGUAGUAGUGUAAUUACGUUCGGCAGCCACCAAUUGUCGACUAGCAUAAUAGAUAGGAUGAUCCAGAUGCUGAUCAUCCUUCUGACUUAGCACCGAUCUAAUAGCCACAUUGGAUGCAUCAACAUACACAUGAAAGGGCUCGGUCCAAUGAGGGGCCACCAAUAUUGGUGCAGAGACUAAUUUUGACUUCAAUGCUUCAAAGGCCAUGGUACACUCCAUGGUCCAGAUGGAACUAGUCCCAUCUAAUGGAGGUUUCUUCAAUAAGUUCGUUAAAGGUUGACAAGUAACUGUAAAUGACCGAAUAAAUCGUCGAUAAUAAUUGACAUGGCCGACAAACCUACGAACAUCGGAGACCGUCUCUAGUCUGGGCAAGUUCAUUAUAUGUGUCACUUUGUCCGGAUCCGUAGCGAUACCACGGCUAGAGACGAUAUGUUCCAAUAAUUUUCCUGAUGGAAUACCAAAUUGACACUUAUCCGAGUUCAACGAUAUCCCAAACUUAGCGCACUAAGACAAGCAUUUGUCAAGAUAAUUAAGAUGAUCUUGUUUUGUACUGAAUGCACAGAAGUCAUCUAAAAAGAUCUCCAUAAAUAGCUGGAGAUAGUCUUGGAAGGCCUGAGUCAUCACUCUCUGAAACGUAGUUGGAACGUUACAUAAACCAAAAGGCAUCACGCGAUAAGCAAAUGUGCCCCAAUCCGUAGUAAAGGUCGUCUUGAGCUAGUCUUCCGAUGUAAUUUGAACCUGAUUAUACCCGAAAAAUCCAUCUAGGAACGAAUAACAUUCAUGACCUGCUAAAGCGUCCAAUAUACUAUCCGUGAAGGGCAAUGGGAAGUAAUCUUUCUUGGUGGCCGCAUUAAAUUUUCGGAAAUCUUAACAAAUUCGGAUUUUUCCAUUCUUUUUUGGCACCAUCACGAUUGGAGAAACCCACUCACUAUUUGGUACUGGGUAAAUAAAACCAACGACAAGAAGCUUCUCCAAUUCUCCCUUCACCAUGAGGGAAUAUUUAGGAUUGAGGCGAUGUUGUCUCUGCUGUAUCAGUUUAGCGUUCUCCUCUAAAAUGAUACGAUGCUCACAGACUUCACCGGGAAUACCUUUUAAAUCAUCAUAAGUCCAAGCAAAAGCGGAUUUAUGAUGCAAGAAAAAUUCGGUCCAACAGGUCAAAUCUUGUUCCUUAAAACCUUCGUAGACUUUAAUUGUCCGAGGUUCUACUGUGGUCACCAAGUUGAUAGUUUGACAUAAAGGUGCAACGACGAUGUUCUGUUUCAACCCGCGCACUGGUUUAAAGUCAAUCAAUAAGUUUGACAUGUAUAAAGUAUUGAAUCUUGUGUACAGGGCACUAAUAUGGUGCACAUCAUACUUGGUCAUCCAAUCAGUACUAACAUAAUCCGAGUUUUUCGAGUCCGUCGGGUAUAUCAAGUACUCCCGCGGACCUCCACAUUGGUACACCACUCCAGGGUGUAGUGUUGCCUCCAUGGGCGCCUCCAUAAUUGGUGCUACUACGUCGUCAUUGGAGCUAAGCUCAUCGUCCGACGUUAAUUCAGAUGCUAGCAAUUGAGACUCCCCAUGAUAGUGUACUGGGUACAUUUAUAACACCAUUUUGUCUAUGCCCUUGCCAAUUGUCAAAGUACCUCGACCCUAAUCGUUCUUGGCCUUUGCUUGAUAAAGCCAAGGUUGUCCCAGUAAAAUUCGAUAUAAUAAAGUCGAACGUUGUAAAUAAAAGACGAUAUAGUCGAUUUCAUAUGCAAUACCAGUAAUCAUAGUUUGAACACUCCGUAAGAUACCUAUUGGUUUAACUCGGCUAUGAUCUGCCAUCCGUAAUACCAAUGUCGUGGAUACUAAGUGUUCCAAAUCUAAAGCAUCCAUUGUAUCAGUAUUCAUUAAAUUGACACUGGAACCACCAUCGACCUGAACAUCCGAGAUCAUAAUACCGUCAAUCGAAACAUCGAUGGUUAGUGCACUUGGGUCAGGGUUCAAACUGAUUUCACAAACUUCUUUAUUAUAGUGCCUAUGCCGUUGUCGUGUUGUGGUUCGGCUACUAUAUGAAAAUAAUAUAAUUAUGUACUUAAUAUAUAAUUUAUUAAGUAACAUGGUAAGAGCCAUGUUAGUAGAUUUUAGUUGGUUGUAGGAUAUAAUUUGAUUAUUACUUUGAGAAGAGGUUGUUUAAAAAGAUUACUAUAGAAUUUGUAUAACUUUAAUUUCUUUUUGAUAGUGGCUUUUAAGAUUGGUUUUGGUUGAUAGUAACUUCUAAAUAUUUAGAGUCACCUUUGUUAGACAUUGGUGACAUUUGAAAAUUUAUUUUGGUUCUUUUAUUUGGUGUUUAGAGCAUACAUUAUAUAAAUCUUAUAAGAAAAAGGAUUGAAGAAGGAUUUUGGUAGCAAAGGGAGGAAUUAGGGCACCAAUAUAGAUGAAUGGAGAUGAAAAAUAAAAAAUCUCCAUUCCUAUUGGUCAAAAAUCAUGACCAAUGGGCUUUGAGGAGGCUGCCUGAGGCCAUAUUAGGGAUUAGGGUUAGUUUCUCGAGGCCAUUCGAGUUUUUGAGGCUAGGGUCAAAAGGUUUAGGUUUUUGGAUAUGGUUUUGGUGCAAAAUUUGUGUCAUUUGGGGUUUAUAUGAAGAAGUUAUAGGCGCUCAAAGUUAAGGUGUAAGUUUUCGACGUACUGUCACUCUUUUGAGCAUACCGCACGUGUACGGACGGAAAACGAGGAUCGGUGACCGGAUUUGAAGAGAAUACUUUUUCGGCUACAGUUUGUGCAUACUGUUUAUCGAAUUCCAAGCUUUUAUGAAGGAGAUAUUGGCAGUUGAAGUCAGCGCUUGAUAUCUAAGGGUAGUAAGUAGCCCGAAUUACUUGUGCUUGUGAUUUGAGCUAUAUCUUAGAAAAUUUGAUGAGGUUUUAGCUCAAAAUUUUCAAGAUUGAGUGUAAUCUUAUUAUAAAGCUUUCUAUACAAGUUUUGUGUGAUUUGAAGCUUGGGUUUAAGAGAUAUAAGGAAAAUAGUUCUCGGGUGCUUGUAAGUUAGGGUUUUGUGCACCUGCUAGGGUUUCUAAGAUGCCGAACGAUCGGUGAUAGAUGUACAGUUCAAUUUUUUUGUGAUAAAAGUUAAGUAUAGCAUCUAGCUUAUGUAGAAAUUUGAAACAAUGUGAAUGGUUGGAUUAGCUUUUAUGAAUUUUCAAAGUCUGAUGUAAAAAGGUCCUUGGCGGGAAGAAAUAUAUUUUGAAGAAUUUUAAGAUAUUUUGAAUUUUUAUACAAACCAAGGAGUUUGUUUUUGGGAGCUAAGGCAUUAUAUAAAAAAGAAACCUAAACUCUCUACAGCUAGAUACCCAGUGUAUUCCUAGAUAGAAAAUCACGCCAUAUGACACUGUAUUAACGAUGAAUUCAAUGUAGAACGGCACUCUGGUGCGACCGCUAGAAGUUGCUUCAUAGAAAUAGAAGGCCGAAUAGCGUCUAGAUCCUUCAAAAUAUCAUAGGAUUCUAUAUUUAGGAUAAUUUCCAAUGCCCUCUUUCUUUUCAUUGGUUUGAGUUUAACUCCGUGAGGUAAGAUAUUCUUCCGCCUUGGACUCGGAAUUAGAACAGCAGUCGGGGCUUCCUUAGAAUUCCCGCCUCUGAGAAGAUCUUUCAAUGGAUAGGACGUUUCUUGGAACUGCGUAGAGAUCAGAACUGCUUGGAAAGAAACUGAAGCCUCCAUAAUUGGGACCUCAUUGGGUUGUGCUACUGAGUCAGGUCUCAUAUUGGGUAUGAAGCCCGUAACAAGACUUGGAUUGGAUGGUCCUUUAAUUGGGUCAAAUUGGUCUUUCGCUUUGAGAUUACCUAAAUGUUGAAUUGGUCCUUUUUUUCUUUUGCUGACUCCGAGUAAAAACGGCUUGGACACAUUCUACCCAAUUCAUUGGAGAAUCUUGAGGACCUCGAUUUAUCUCCUCAAAUUUUCCUUGGCUUUGGAUCUAUUGAUCCCGAUUAUUGACAUUGAACGGAGCAUUACAUUGCUGAUACGUAUGCCCCGACUGCUUGUAAUUCCCACAAACAGGUGCAUAAUCGUCACUGGCUCUGGGAUUGGGACAUUCAUUGGCAUAAUAAUGAAUCUGUCUACAAUGGAAACAACGAAGUGAUCUUCUUGCACCCCCAUCAAGCAUAUUGGAUACCUCCACCAGUAUAUACCUACUAGGCUUGUUCCAUGUAGAGUUGGAUAAUGAUUCUGGUUGUCCCAUUAGUAUUGAGGGAACUUGGUUUGAUGACAUCGGUGGAGCAUAUUGCUGAUACCUCUGCUACUCCUUACCAUAGUUCUGGGGGUUCGAUGUAGACCCCUGAUUAAAAUUGGAACUUUGAAAGUUAUUGAAUGCUUGAUUUAGUCGAUUAAAUCGAUUUCUAUUCCAUCCAAACGUAUUUCCCAUUUGUACUUGAUUGACGUCCCACUGGAUUGGUGGGAUCAUGGUCUGAUUACUAAAUUGUUGUUGUUAUCUUUAUCAAUUCCAACAAUUUGCUAUUAGGUGCUUUCCUCCGUAAAAUGUACAUCGACCCAUUAUUUGUGAGGAUGAGGGGCACUCUGUUACAGAAUGACAGUGGCCCUUACAAUUAUUGCACCAUACAUUGGUCCUAGUAUUAGUAGGCUUUUGCCUCUUCUCCUUAUCUUUGGCCAUAUUGAUGGCCAUUUCUUCCAUUUUUUUCAUCAAAUUUAAUAACAAAGUUUCGUUGGAAUCUUUUAGGACUGGCAUUAUUGGUAUUUCUGCCAUAAUUAAUGCUUGUUGUUGAUAAGGAAAAUAUGGAGCAUAUGCUGUUGUCACGUUCGGUGGUAUAGCUUGCAAUGGGGUGACAUUAAUUGGCCCCUGAAUAUUCGUAUUGGAAUUGGCCCCUGUUUCUAACAUCCGUAGAUAACUACCCACUGAUUUGUUCCAAGUCAGAUUUUGAUAUCUAUCUUGAAUUGGAAUCAUCGUGGCUCCCGCAGUUAAAAACUGAUCAUAAUGGCAUUCCUUCCAAACCUUGGCUCUAUUAAAGGAUGCAGUCACCAUAACGGGUUGAGCUUCCUUUACAAACAUUUUUAGCUCUGGUGGGUACAAACCAUUGAUUAAUAUGGAUAAGAUAAAUACCUCCGACAUUUGGUGAUUCGGCCACUUACUGAGUAUAUCAGCCACUCGGCCAUAGUACGAUUCCACCGCCUCCCCUAGGAUCAUUUUGUUGUUUAUUAACCUCUCUCGAAGGUGGUCCUCAAAACCAAUUGGCCAAUAAUGAGAUAAAAAUGCAUUCUUCAAUGCUUCCCAAUUCGAAAAUUGAUCCACUAGUUGGCGGUUGUACCAUUCAAAUGUCGUGACUUUUAAGGUCACUGGCAGCCAUCUUAGUGGCGUGACACUAGUCAUACGAUUGCCUACUACACCCAUUUGUAUUACAAUUGGAAUGGCUGGUCCUCUUGACGCCAUUGAAUUUCUUGUUUCGCUAAACUCCAUUUUAAAAUAAUCUCUGCUUUUUCUUAUUCUAAUUUUUGAGCUCUCAGUGCUCCUCGAUUUAUUGUUAUUUUUUACAAUUAGUUUUAUUGGUUGAAUUGCAGGUGAAAACAUCGGAUUUUGAAAUACAAUAUAGUUAUCUUUAUUGGCGACCAAUUUGUGCCAAUCUGAAGAGCCACUAUUGCUCAUUUCAGCAGUACCUUCUACUGAAAAAAUACCCAAUGGAGUACCAAAUUCUUCUACGCCUCCUUCUCUUUCAAUUAACGGCCUCAAGAUUUCCACUGGAAUAUUAACAAAAUUUCCUACGAGUGUUCUUGGCAGUUUUCUAAUUGUACAUACGAUUGCAGAAUUAACAGUCUGUCCGAUUCUUGAUAUGUUUGGAUGUGCCGACAAGCUUACAACCAUGGUUUAAUCCAAUUCUGUUGAUGCUUUUUUUUAAGAUUACGUUCUUGCUCCUCUCUAAGCAAGUUCCUUCCUUGCACUCUUCCCUGUCUUUUUCUCAACUGAUUUAUUUUCCUCGAUGUAAUGCUCUCAUUUUUAUUAACCAUAAUCUUGCUUCAAACACUACUGAAAUCGUCUUCUAUCGCCAAUUUUCUCACAUGUUUGGUAAUUAAUUCCUAACACUCAAAGCUAUUAUCACUCCCCGGCAGCAGCGCCAAAAUAUGAAAGCUCGUUUUACUUAUUUCGGAAGAAACCUCCGAGCAUAAAUCCGUAUAGGGGGAUUCGAACACGGAAAAUGACUAGUUGCUUAAGCGUUCACGUUAGGGUCACACAAUCAAUUAUCUCCUGAAUGUAUCAUCUCUAUUUCUAAUAUCUGAACACACAAGGAAACUAUAAUCUCCUUCUUCACCUUAUCGGUCUCUUCCUUACAGUAAUUCAGUCAUACCAAUAACUGCUAUUUCUACCAAUAUAUUCACCUUCAUAAUCUCCAACUGUAAUACUAUGCCCUCACAACUUUCAGCACACAAUUAUCCUCGUUCCAAUCACUAGAAUUCUUUACACAGAACUGCCAUUUUUUAUUACAAUUUUUUACACAAACACAGACUCAUUCUCUUUGCUGAACUACAAUCAGAUUUCAGCAUUCAAUCUUUCUUCUUCUCAAAUAAUACCAAUCACAUUUCCAUUCCAUAAUUCACUUCACAAUAUUCAGAAACUUUCAAUCCUCUUAUUCAAAGAAAAUAACAAACAAAAGAAAAGAGGUAGCACCAAGCUUAUCUCGGCUCACACUAUCAUAGCGAUGGUCCUCGGCUCACAACUCUCACAGUCUGGCCCUCAGCUCACAACUCUCACAGUUUGGCCCCCUAAUUAACUUCUACAACUCCUAUAUACUUUCUCCUGAUUCUCCAGAUUCU
rnacentral:lncRNA from 1 species